rnacentral:rRNA from 1 species
CACGUAGGGUGCGAGCGUUGUCCGGAUUUAUUGGGCGUAAAGAGCUCGUAGGUGGUUCGGUAAGUCAGGUGUGAAACCUCCAGGCUCAACCUGGAGACGCCACUUGAUACUGCUGUGACUGGAGUCCGGUAGGGGAGCGUGGAAUUCCUGGUGUAGCGGUGAAAUGCGCAGAUAUCAGGAGGAACACCAGCGGCGAAGGCGGCGCUCUGGGCCGGUACUGACACUGAGGAGCGAAAGCGUGGGGAGCAAACAGG